UACGUAGGGUGCAAGCGUUGUCCGGAUUUAUUGGGCGUAAAGAGCUCGUAGGCGGUUUGGCAAGUCAGGUGUGAAAACUUCAGGCUCAACCUGGAGAUGCCACCUGAUACUGCUAUGACUUGAGUCUGGUAGGGGAUCACGGAAUUCCUGGUGUAGCGGUGAAAUGCGCAGAUAUCAGGAAGAACACCCGUGGCGAAGGCGGCUCUCUGGAACGCAACUGACGCUGAGACGCGAAAGCGUGGGGAGCAAACAGG
rnacentral:rRNA from 1 species